rnacentral:rRNA from 1 species
CAGUCGCCACGGUAAUACGUAGGGUGCAAGCGUUAAUCGGAAUUACUGGGCGUAAAGCGUGCGCAGGCGGUUCGGAAAGAAAGAUGUGAAAUCCCAGAGCUUAACUUUGGAACUGCAUUUUUAACUACCGGGCUAGAGUGUGUCAGAGGGAGUUGGAAUUCCGCGUGUAGCAGUGAAAUGCGUAGAUAUGCGGAGGAACACCGAUGGCGAAGGCAGCCUCCUGGGAUAACACUGACGCUCAUGCACGAAAGCGUGGGGAGCAAACAGGAUUAGAUACCCGCGUAGUCCCUGUCUCUUAUAC